GACAGUGCUGAAUUGAUCACUUCCCUGCUUCACAGUGGAGCUGACAUACAGCAGGUUGGGUAUGGUGGCCUCACUGCCCUGCAUAUUGCUACAAUAGCCGGUCACCUGGAGCCUAAUUGGUUGCCAAACUGAAUAUACAACUUUCUUACUGAUGAUGCAAGAAGAGUGGAAAUGUGUUGUUCCAAUAAGGAACGUGACUUGGUUUAGAUGUUGGCACUCCCAUCAGCAAGUGUGAUAACAUAAAUCCUUAAAGAUCCAGUCAGUAAAUUCUGGAGCUAUAAUAUUUUAUAGUAAAAA